rnacentral:lncRNA from 1 species
UCGCCUUCCUCCUGGGUACACGUUACAUCGGGCCAUCACCCACCGUUUGGCCUUACGUCUCCAGGAAUACCGUGGGCUCAUGGGGUUUGGAAUCUUUGGAACUGGAAGCCAACUAGUCAUUGUCCCCACAAUGAAUUUCGGACGGGAAACGUCUGUCUAAUCUUAUCUACAAUUCUUCUACCGCUCGCCGCCCCUCUCCCUGUGUGUAUAAAGUAAGUCCCUUUUUGAGGAGAAGCCCUGAGAGAUAUCCGAGCUGAGAUCAGGGAAAGAGAAUAGCACAAGGAGAUGAGCGGAAGUGGGAUGGCGUCGAUGGCCCAGGGGAUGGCGAAGGCUGGGACCGGGGGGAGUACUUCUGGGGGACCGCAGAAUGGCAAGGAAAGGGCGAGCUCGCUCCAGGUGCCGUCGCACCGCCCUCGCGGAGGCGAUGGCCGGGCUGACGGCGAGGUGAUGCCGGAGUGGAAGCUCAAAUUGCUCUGCACCGAGUACGGCGUUCCGCCCACCAUGAGAGGAAGCUUGCUGCUGGGUGGCUGCUUCUAAAUGCGAAAAAAUGGGUGCUGCACGCUACUUUCUCUAUUUCUAUGGGGGUGGUUUGAUGGAUGUAGCGUUUGUAUGGUACUAUAAACUUUUGUACAUAGUAGUUAAAUCUCUCUCUCUUGUUGGGGAAUUAGAGUGGUGUAACUGCGUUGAUCUUGUCUUGAAUCGUAUGACUGGUUUUCUGAUAUUAUCUCUCUUAAAGAGUCUAUAAGAUCAAAAUAUCAUGAAAUUUAAAGUUUUUUUUCUUUUUGCUGCACCUUGUUUCUUUUUCGCACCCGCUCUUCCAAGUGCAGACUGUGCUAGCAUGGGAUUUCUUCCGUGUGGUUACACCAAAUGAUUAUUUCUUAAGUCUACCGGAUGAAUAUCUUUUGGUAGAUGAAGAAGGAGAGCAAUCACAGGUUUACUGCUUUCAGAUUACAAUAUCUGGGAGAGAGUAGACAACAGAAGCGGUUUGCACAGAGAUCUCAAAGAAGUUGUGGACUGAUUAUCUCGAUGAGUUUGAGUUGAAUGAUUCAAAUUUCAACGUUCAUAAUGUAUUUUGUUGGCUGCCUUUAAUUAAUCAUAUUGAUUUAUGAUGUUUGCAUAUGUGACGUUGCUAAAUGGUUAUUUCUUUGUGCAAUUUCUUUUCUUUUAUUUUUUAAUUUGGCUCUUUGCUAAAAAAAACUAACAAAAAAUCGGAAGUUCGCUCCAUAUAAUAUUCGUGCACCAAAAAAAUCUUGGAUCUUGUAAAAGGGGGUCCUCAUGAGAGGUGGAAUUAUAAAACAGCUGGCUACCUUGUCGAAUUGAAUUGCUAGUUGAGGAAACCCUGGGCAGAGGCAAGCCUAACGAAACCUUUAAGAAACAAACCCUUAUUAGUGUUUCAAAUAUUGCGAACCAGAGUGGAGCAGGCGGACUUGACUUGGGCAAAUAUGGAGCAUUGUCUCGUGUAGGGGUAGCAUUCAGGUCGGAUAAAGGUCCGAUUGGAUGUGGUUUGGGAUAAAAAAUAAUAAAUCUAUACUUGAUCUGUUUAUUAAAUAUGUCAAAAACCAAAACUUGAACCUAAAACUGAUUUGCUUAAGAAAUAGUUAGCCUGACUUAAACUAUUUAACCUGUUUGGUAAAUGGGUCGAAUCAAAUCCAAGUUAUAUUUUGGCCUAUCAACCUGCUUCUUUCCUCCCUCUUCAGUGGCUCUCCUUCUCAAAUUCUAACCCUGGUUCUCUCUCUCUCUCCUCAAAUUUUAAAUGCUAUCCCACAUCUGAGUUAUAAGUGCAACAUACUUCGAACAUGGACCGGCAUGGCUUCCACCACUGCAUCGCAUUGAUGCUUAUCACAAACACAGAGCACUACCGCAACCAUGCUACGACCAUCUAUAGUCUAUACAUGAAAUCUAUCCCCCUUCCACUUCCUAAUCCACACCUUUUCCCCUCUUUAUGAGUCGUUAAAGCUUUUGCCCCCUUCAUGGGCACCACCAUCACUUAGGAAAAUAAACAAUGCUUGCUUAUACUCAUUUGAGUUCUGAUCCGAUGGGGAAGGAUUUUUUUUCUUUUUUUCAUCUCACUAAACUCAAAUAUCUUAAAAAAAUAAAAAAUUGAAGAAUUCAUGAAAGUAAAGUUUAGAAUUUUUUUUAUUAAUUAUUAACAAACUGAUAUACACAAUCUCUAUGUGGAUCGACAAGAUCCACCCUUAUAUAAUUCAAGUCGAAUUGCCCUUCUAGUAUACAUAGGGGUGGCAAAAUAUGAUCCGACCUACCAUAAACAGGUUCGGAUUUGGCCUAAACAGGUUCGGGUUGUAAACAGGUUGACCCGUUUAACCUGUUUAUUAAUUAGAUCGGAUACAAGUUUUAGUUAUUGGACCCGUUUAACCUAUAAAUAUUAAAUAAUUUUCUAAUCCGUAUCCCUUACAAAUCAUGGUCACAGUGUUUUCCCCUUUCGGCCUUUCGAUUUCCUAAUCUGUUUCCACCUUUCCGGUAUCCGAAAUCCAUCGCUCUCGUUGUCACCGCUUGAAUCCAGUCUCUGUUCAUCAUCACCUGCAAAUCCGGUAUCUCGAUCGGCGCUCUCGUCGUUGUCAUUCGAAUCUCUCUGGAUUUCUUCUCUUCCUCGUCGGCGAGAUAGGGUUUGGAGAAUCCGGAAAAUAUAGGAUUUUUCUGACAUGAGGUUGGAUGGAUGAAGGAUGCCGGAGCUCCAUAGAGGAGUGUAGAAGGGGCGAGCGCAGGCGAACCUGAUAGUCCAGGCCGAGAGGCCGACCACUGCCAGGAGGAGGAGGGCUCAGCGGUGGCAGCUCAGUGCAGCGCUGCAACGGCGGCACAGCGGCGGUCGCGGCAGAUCUCGAGGCGGUGGUUCGACCAGUGAAGCUCCGGUGGCGACGCGGCAAGAUGGAGGUUGCGGGCGGUGCAGGGUGGCGGCUCAGGCGUAGCCGUGGCGAGGGAGGCCGAUCGGGGAAGAAGAUGAGCAGGAUUUUUUCCCCCUCCUUUACACCUUUCCCCUCCCACCUCUCUCUCUCUUAGUCUCUCGUCUCUCUCUCUCUCGUCUUUUUUCCUCCCAUCCCCCAACCCCCAUUCUUUCCUUUCCCUAAACCGGUCGGGUUCAGGUUGUAAUUCCUGACCUGUUUAAUAAACAGGUAGGGUUCAGAUUUAUAAUUUUCUGACCCGACUUGCAUCUGACCCGACCCGAUUGCCACCCCUAAAUAUACAUAGAACAUGACUUUUCUAAAAUAGAUAUGACUAGUAAAAAUAAAAUAAAAAAGCUAAAAUCUUAUAAAAAGUGGAUUCCAACUUGUAAAUUGAUUUUAUCUUCGGUUGCUUCGCCUAAUUCUUUCUGGAUAAAAAAGAUACAUCUGAUCAAAAUAUUUUUCAAAAAGGAAAGGUUGGAUUUGACUUAUCUAUUUCAAGGCCUGAAGGGUGGAAUUUGGGAUCAAUUGCUUGAUUCAUUGCACUCUUGAGAAGGUAGCGCAACAUCUUAGAGCUUGAAAAGUUACUCAAUUUUUUAUUAAAAAGAUCGUCUCAAUCAAGCAUCAUACAACCAAGUUAUUGUCUCUAAAAUUUUGGCACAUAAUUUGGCUUUUUGAUGUAGAUCCUAAUUCUGAAUUAUAUUCAAUCAUUUCUAUAGUAGCCAAAAUGCUCCAUAUUAAGUCUAGCAUCUAUCUGAAUUAAGUUCCAAUAAUAAUAGAUGAUUAUUAAUAUAAUAUACAUGUGUCGGUGUGCAGAAUGAGAGAGGCCAUAUAUGUUUAUGUGCGGAGAGAGAGUGCAUACGCAUGUGAUCCAUGGAUAAUUCCUUAACAAGGUAAUUCCUUUCCACCGCGAAAAGCCGGUGGUGAUAAUAGUCAUACAGCAGCAGAUUUUUUUUCUCUCGCUAAGAUAGCAGUAGAAUUAGGACCCCAGUGAGGGAUGGCAGUACUUAAUUCAUUUACUUCUUUUACCUUGAUUUAAUGGUAAGGUUGGAUUACUUGUUUAAUAAAAUGGCUAGAUUCGGCUCUAGAUUUUGAUAUAUUAAAUAAAUAGAUUAUAUUCUGAUUGACAGAUUUCUGACUAUUCUGUAAUGGACCCCAACCCAUAUCUGAUCCCACCGACUUGCUUUCAUUGUAAUUAAGAUCCGCUGCUAAUCUCUAGCUUUCAUUUGGACAAAAUCGUAGCUGUUUGGGCUUAAAAUACCAACCUUGUGGUGGCUUUUGAGUUUCUAAUGGACAAAAAUUCUGUUUGCUGUUCAGUACCUCCAGCUAUAAAUAAUUUUUUUUUUGGGGGGGUGUGGUGGUAUCAAUUCCUUGUUUUUUAGUUUGAGUCACGUGCCUUUCAUGAAGUGUCUGACGUGCACAUCCCUCAUCAAAAUUAGUACCAAUAAUUUUGCCGACACCUGCAAUCAUACCGUCAGACUUGUCUAUCUUCCCCUCCUCCAUUGGCCAACAAAGCUUUCACACGGCUCUUUUUUCACUUCUCGGAAGAUUUUCAGACGGGGUUUCCUCCAUCAACACAAAGGAUUCCAACUGGUUUCCUCCAUGUCGAUCUUCUGGUUGCUUCUCAUAUUCUGCUCUUCCGGGGGCCUCACCGACGCAAAAUGCAAAUUUCCGGCCAUCUUCAACUUCGGCGACUCGAAUUCUGAUACCGGCGGUUUCUGGGCAGCGUUUCCGGCGCAGCACGGCCCAUUCGGCAUGACCUAUUUCAAGAAACCGGCCGGCCGAGCCUCCGAUGGGAGAGUCGUCGUCGACUUCUUAGGCAUGUUGACGUAAAAGCAACGUGGUUAUCAUUUUUUUUUCCUUCAGAAAAUCUGGCUACUGUUGGAUGUUUGAAUUCCACAAGCAUUGAAACUUGAUGAGGUUGGAGUAUUCCUUUUGAUUUCACACGUGUCAUGAUUUUAAUCUUGUUUGUGUUCUUUGCUUUAUCUCAAUGGUUGCAGCUCAAGCUCUGGGUCUGCCAUUUCUUAGCCCAUAUCUGAACUCUAUCGGGUCAGACUUCAGGCAUGGUGCCAACUUUGCAACGUUGGCUUCCACAGUGCUGCUGCCUAACACCUCGCUCUUUGUCACCGGAAUCAGCCCUUUUUCUUUGGGCAUUCAGCUCAAUCAGAUCAAAGAUCUCAAGGCGAAAGUACUUGAGCCAAAACCUUAUGGUACGUCGCAUUAAUUCCCCACGUACCUAUCACCGACUCAAUUAAUGCACUCUGUACGGGUUGUUUAUGGUUCGCGGUGCAGAUGUUCUGGAGGAAAUCAGUAACUUUCUAUCAAUUACUUAUGGUUAAAAGACAGAGAGCCAAAGCUUGUGAGGGCAAUGAUUCAAUUCAUGGGAACGUUAAAAUUCAUAAUAGCAUUAGAAAUAAUUUUCCAAAUGAAUGAUGCUAAUGGGCCCGGCCUGAUGUCCUUUCUGGAAAAUUUCACACAACGACAGCUCAUGCCCUAUACAAAAGGUUGGAAAUGAUAGGCCCAAUCCUGGCACUUGCCAUUGGAGCGGAGAUAACAACAAAUUGGGUUUUAAAUUAUUUAGGAAUACAGUACCAAAAUCAUGGGGUAAUGCAAACUUCAUGCAUGAUUGAGUAAUUAUUUAUAGCAUUCUAGAAUAUUGCAUGAUUAUAUUCAUCAUUUGAGCCGUGACGCAGGGAAUCUUCCUCCUCCUAACAUCUUCAGCGAGGCACUAUACACCAUAGACAUUGGCCAGAAUGACUUCACCUCCACCUAAAAGCCAUCGGAAUUGAAGGGGUUAAGCAAUAUCUUCCUCAGGUGUCCUCGCAGAUCGCUUGGACAAUAAAGGUGGACUAGCGUUGCGCAUUUGGCUUUAAGGAACCUCUGAAAUAUGUGACUACGAGCUAUGCCUAAGUUAGAUAUCAAUAAGUCUACUCAUUGGAUCCAAAAUGGUUGCAGGAGUUAUAUGACAUGGGAGGGCGCACCUUCAUGGUAUUCAACCUGGCCCCGGUCGGCUGCUUUCCGGCAUUCCUCACGGAGCUCCCUCAUAAUAGCUCGGACUUGGAUGAGUAUGGAUGCAUGAUUUCAUACAACAAUGCUGUGGUGGACUACAACAUUAUGUUGAAUGAGACUCUCCAUCAAGUCCUAGACAUGCUCCAAGAUGCUUCCAUGAUAUAUGUGGAUACUCAUUCCGUCAAGCUUGAGCUUUUUCGGCAUCCUAAAGACCAUGGUGAGCUUUAUGACCCUUGCAUAUUGAAAUAUAUUUUGAAAACUUUCGUUAACCGAAUCUAAAUUGAUGAGCUUCAUUCAUAAUUUUCUCAUAAUUGUAUUGCUUUUGACCUUAUCUUUAACUUUCUUAUGCAUGCAUGCAUGAAAACUUUCUCCAUCUUUUUAUCUUUGUUCUUAUUUCAUUCUUACAUACAUUUCUUAAUGAAAGAUUUGUUUUUGAAACAAUUUUCAUUAUAUUAUCUCUUGAUAUAUAAUUCUUCUUAGAUUAAUAUAUCACUUCUGGUUCAAUACAUGCAUGAUUGCUAUUAAAAUAUGUAACAAGCAUUAUGUUGUCACCUAUGCUUCAUGGCAAUUUUAACAUAAAUACAUUACAUACAUCCUCCUUCAAUAUGAUCUGCAUGUACUAUAAUUUGCUAUAUUCUUCUUUCAGGCCUUUUAUAUGGAACUAAAGCCUGUUGUGGGCAUGGAGGUGGUGCCUAUAACUUUGACCCAGAAGUUUUUUGUGGAAACAGCAAGGUGAUCAAUGGCAUCAAUGUAACUGCAACUGCAUGUGAAGAUCCACAAAAUUAUGUGAGCUGGGAUGGAAUUCAUGCCACGGAAUCUGCAAACAAACUUAUAACAUCGGCUGUGCUGAGUGACUCUUACUCGCAUCCUCCCUUCCCUCUUUCCAGGCUUUGUGACUUGCACCCCAUUGGAUGAUCAACACAUGCAUGCUCAAAAUUUAGGUAAAUAAUCCACCAAAGUUAAGUUGUGGUUGGUGGCAGGCACAUUACUACCAAAUCGCUGAACAGAGAUGUUGAGGGGGGAAUAAAUGAGUUGUGGUCGAGUGAAUUGCAAGACUCCCCUAAUUCCAUAAAAUAUUAGGGGAGAUAAAAAUUAAUAGAAAAACCAUCGUUAUAGUUGAAGUGUAUCAAAGCCAAGCAAAGUCUAAUGCCCAGUUUCAUCAAAAUACUUGACUAACUUUAGCACACCUUUUUUGCUUUUUUUUCUUGAGAGGUCACCUUUUUUUUUUUUUAUUUUUAGAGAGAGAGAGAAAGUGAGAGAUCCAGUUUUUUGAGGAUGUACCGUUCCCAAAAAAAAAAAAAAACAAAAGCGGUCUGACCACUGAGGCAAACCUCAGUUCGUACCUUUUGCUUUCAAGAAAAUACAAAAGAAUUUAAAGGACGAUGUAUAGCAAAAGUGCUAGUGAAUUGAGCAGAGCCUUUAUCAGCAGAAAAUACAUUCAGAUAUUUCUCUUUCAUGAUUCCACUGACAAACUCUUAACAGAUUUCCCACACUCGGCCGAAUUUGUUAAUUAGAUUCCACCCUUCUGCUGAAUUAGAAUGGGCCUAGGGCCACUGUACUCAGCAUUUAAGCCCAACAGCAUCUGGUACGAAGAUCCUUAGUCGUGAAACAGUAGAAUUGGAGGGUAGCUAAACAAUAGGAAAAUCUCCUGAUGGUUGUAGCAAAGACCUAGAUUUGAAUCUUACCUACACCAGAAUUUGGGGCAUGUUUGGUUGCGGAGGGUUCGGCUCUGAAAUGGAAAUGAGAAUGAGUUCCGGUUCCAAUUUUAAGAGAGAAUAAUAAGAAUGACCUAACCUAUCAAAAUUUAAUCCCAGCUCUCCUCCAGCACUCAAAUUCCAUUUCAAUUCAACUUCUAAUUUCAGUCAUAAACUAAAUGCAUCGGAGAAUAUAGCCAUACCGANNNNNNNNNNNNNNNNNNNNNNNCUCCUCCCAACCCAGAUGGUACCCAAAGGCUCACCAUACUCAGCUUGGUCUUCCAUGUCCUCCAUUUUCUUUUGUCUUACCAACCUAAAGAUUCCUAGCCCAACCAAACCCGCCAGGCCCAUUCCCACUGCACCACCAGCACUUGCUAUCACCCAAACUUCCCAUCUACUCUGUGUUUCCUGUUCAACUGCCGGAGGCGAGACUGGAACAACCGAAGGGACGACGAUCGUGAAGUGGCCUGUGCUCGCGAGUCGCCGUUGAACAAACAUUCUCCAAAACCAUGUCGUCAAGAUGCACCGAUCCAUCCCGUCCAAACCUGGCACAUUUUAUUGGGGAAUCGAUUCCUUUCGGCAACUUAACUUCUGGGAAGGUCACCGAAAUCCCAUCUCCAAGCAAUGCGAGAUCGAGCUCACUCAUGGUACCAGAAGUUACGCUGGAUGCGUCAUAAGCUAAGCAGCCGACGAUGGGAGCGACGAGGGAGUAACCGAGCACAUUGUAAUAGGAGGAAGAUCUAUUGCCCAGAUCAUGGUAGACAAUGACCAGCCUCCUCACGGGAGGAACCGGGAUCGCCCUCGGCGGGAUGUAGACUGAGCUAUAAUUUGCUCCCCUGGCCCACAGAGUGCCGCUACGUAGUCUCAUGACCCAGGCUCUGAUACCCGAGAGGUCAUGAGGAAGAGACACCUCGUACAGCACACCUGAUCGACAGCGAAGUAGCUCCUUGGAUGCAUAGUCUCGGAUCGUAGAAUUCAAUGACUCGAUCGAUCUCGAGCUUUGCGCGAAAGAGAGAGGAAAGAGGGAGAAGACAAGCAAUGCCACGCACCUACCUCGCCCUGGCUCCAUCAAACAAUCCAACUCACGUGCCGAUGGGAUGCAGCCACCUAUCGAUGAGAAGCUCGCAAGGGCUGACGCUCCCUAACAGCUCCCCUCUCGACCUGAAACCUCUCCGACUCCGUGACGUCGAGGAGCUCUUGGACGGCAGGCAACGGUGGAAUGGAAGAGGAAAGGGGGGCCAUCUUUCAGUAGUAUAAGAUCCCAGAGGAAAAGGAGGAGGAGGAGGGGAAGGGGCCCAUCCUAGCUCAUCUUUGAGACCUUUUUUCAGGCCUUUUAGGCCUUCUUUCCAACUAUUCAUAGGCUUCUCUCAUCAGCUAAAUGGGCACGAUGCAGAGGGUGGAGGGGGACAGGGACACCAAAACGGAAUGGAGAUGGGCUGGCUUUUCUUAGUUUGGAACUGGAAAGCAUAAGAAAUCUUAUAUAUAGGCAUUAAUUUGCCCCUGAGGUGGGAUGUGGAAUGGCAAGAGGCAUGAAAGUUCGGGGUUUAGGGUGGUGUGGUGGAGGCCAGCGUGGUGGCACGUGCACGGUGACAGAUUGGGUCGUGGCGUCAAUCUCUCGUGCUGAUUGGUCAACGAAAUCUGCGGCAAGAUUUCCGGUCUUUCUCCGACCGCGUGAGAGUUUGGGAUGGCCAGCGAUUUACGAUCUUGCUAACGAGUAAUAGCUAACGGGAUCCUACGAAGCUUUGAACAGGGUUUUAGACCCAUCAAGGACAUGGUUGCGUAAUACUGUGCAACCCAGCAGGAGUCACAAGCACACGGAUCAGAGAAGGCCAUUUCACAGGAUCAAUAGAAUUUUUUUUUAGAAUAGAUUGGUCCGAGUUCUAUAUAAAAAAAAAAUGAUCAGAUUUUUUUUCUAACCUACAAAAAUAGACCAGAAGAAGUCUGAUGGAUAUGGGCUGUGCCAAACCUCAUAUUAAGUAAUAUUAGAUAUAAUAUGUGUACAUUGUUUUUAAGAUAUAUGAUGGAUAGGCCAGGCCUGAUGCUUGCAGAAUGUUUAGCUCAAUCUUGCAGGAGUAUCCAACCAAUCUCUAAAAUUGAAAUACUGCAUGGUAAUCACUUGAUUCACCUUCACCUUUGUACAAGGUGGUGCUCGACCGGACCUUGGAAUUUUCCUACCUCCUUAUAAGGGGAGCAUCUUAAUCUUCCUUGCAGCUCUCUCUCUCUCUCNNNNNNNNNNNNNNNNNNNNCUCUCUCUCUCUCUCUCUCUCUCUCUCUCUCUCUCUCUCUCUCUCUCGUUAUUAACAAGGCCAAUCCUGGCUGUUCUACUUGCCGAGUGGCUUUUGAACUAUUAGACGAACAUUGAAGGGGUAGGCUCUGUUCAUGAGAAUGUUUCACAAAUUGCACAAACUAAUUUCACUUAUACUUUUCUUUUUCCUCUCUAUCAUUCACUAUGAGAUAAGGUUUUCUUUUUCUAAUCAACUCAAUUGCCUGGAUGACCAAUUUGCAGAAUGCAAACAAUAGCAUUAUUUUAACACAAAAAGGAAAAAAUGGAAAUCAUAGCAUCAUAUGAUAUAUUAUAUCACAAUUCCAUCCUCUGUAUAUCUUUGAUAUGCUAAAUUGUGUGGAGAAGGUUCUGCUGGAGUGAUCAAUCUAUGGUUGCUAAGCAAAAGGGUAGGUCACCAAGACAAGUACCAGGACCUAGCUGGUCCUGCUGACGUCAACAUAAUAAAAAGUUCAUGCCACAUUGCUGAACAUAGCAAACAUAGCUGGGGUCUGUAAACUCGGGAUGUAGUUUUAAUUAUGGUCUGUCAAAUUAUUUAGAAAACUAAUGGCUCAGUUAGUUGGCAUCUCUCUUCUAGGAUAUUGUUGUUGAAAGAGAUCCGAGAUUCAAAUUCCAAAUAUUGCUAAGAAAGAAUUAUCCAGAGAAUUUAACUCUCUUGUCUGACAAAGCAAAAAUACAAUCAACUGAUAGGUACAUGAGGGCCACCAAGAAGCAGGGACCAUUCUCCUUGGUGCAUGAUCCAAGAAAGGGUUUUAGAUUCAACCCAAAUAAUGGUACUGCAAAUAUUAAUCACUCUCUCAAUUCAUCAGCAGACACUUCUAGCUUUUGGGCAUCAGACUUUUUUGUUUUCUUUGUCUAUAGGAUAAAUGCAGAAUGCUUAAGCUAGUAAAGGCAAACUUAGAGUUUCUUGCCAUUAUACCCACCAAGAAAAUAUAUUUUCCCCAAAAUCAUUAAUCUUGCAUUCACAUUAAAGAUGCACAACUGAGCCCACAAUAACUGUUUAACCCAGAAGCUAUGCCAAUCUGUAUGAUUCCUUUACGGGUGAUCCAUGAACUUCACCAAAUUAUUUUUCUCGUUAAUAUGCGUUUACUAUCAGUUCUUUUGUCCAUGUAAAUCAUGUCAGAGAUCGCAGUCACUACAACAACCAAGAUAAUACCUGAGGUUAAGCUACGACAAGGUGGUCUAAGGGCCCAGCCCGAAGUGGGGUAGACGCGCGUGCUUUACGCGUGAUAGGAAAAAAGAAAGGCCCAAUUCCUUCUUCUCCUUGCUUUCUUGGGCCGCCGUUAAAGGCCGAUUUGAGUCGGAGGGUCGCCGGAUUCCGUUGAAACAGGGCCUCCCCCUGUUCCGUUGUUUUUCCUCCGUUCGGGUUUUCUUCCACCGUCGGCCACCACUGAGGUGGCUAUUGUUGGGGUUCUUGGCGAAGUCCAGUCUGUGGCCGAUGCCGGCGCUCGCUGUCACCGGCAACUUUCGCUGUGAUUGGUGCAAGGCCGCCUCCCUUGUUUUCUCUUUUCUCUUUUCUCUUCUCUCUUUACUCAGUGACUUACCCCAAGGCUGGCAAUCUCUCCUAGAGAAAUCUGAAUAUACCCCAGUGUAAAGGAAAGUUCUUUCUUUUGGUGGAAGACUCGUUCGUUUGGCGGACUGCCUAUACCCCCUUCCUUCAAAUGGAGAUUCUCCUUUCAUUCAUUUUCUGAAUUUAAGUUCAAUGGAGCUCUUGCUCCUCCCUUUCUUUAAAAAGAGAACAAAGGGGGAAAAAAGGGGAAGACGUGAACAAGCUGUUAUAGCUAUAAGCUAUAUUGCAUAUGGUUGCCGCAAACCUUCAUCAUAAAGAACUUCAACCGAAGGACGGGAAGUUUGACUAUAGCAUCCCGAGCCUUUGGAUGAAUGUCUCAUUUCCUCGACGCAUCCCUGCUUUUCUCUUAUAAAUGCCAUGCAGUGUAUAUUAUCACCAUAAAAUCAUGUUUCCUUCCUAACACAUCUAAGAUGCGUGAGAUAAUAAUAUUAUAAACUGACUGCAAAACAUGAACUAGUUUUGUAACCAGACUUUGUUAUUACUGGAAAUCUUAAAAUCCAAAAAAAAGCCAGAUAGAUGUUGAGUUUGACAGCGACAAGUAGACAGAUAAAUGGCUCACUUCUAGCGUGCCCCUGCUUUGUUCUUAUAAAUACUGUGUAAUAUACACCCAUCACCAGAGAAAAAGCACUCUUUUAAUCCUAAAAUAUGAUUUUUUUUUAAAUUUUUUUUCUAGUGCAAAACAAAGCAUGCUAAGUAGCCAAUUUUGUCCCAGCAGGCAUUUACAUCCUGAGGUUCGCAGAUGUUAAAUAAGCAAGGUUUUGGAUCUUUGCUUUUAGAGACAAAAAUGGCAUCUUUGCUACCUGAAAGCAUUAAAAGAUGAUGAAACAAUCCAACAACCCGAGCAUUAAACGACUAGGUUCUGAAGAUGCCAAAGGAUGAACUUUUAGGAAUUUGAUGAUUUCCUCCAAGAUGGGAGCUUAUGUAUCACCAUAACCACAAUCCAAUCCUUGCAUUUCAAAUUUGUAGAGAAAACAAAAAAGACUGACAUUGGGACAGCACGCUUACCGACCUUCUUUCUUUCUUCAUUAGGUUUGACACAAAGUGCCUGGGCAAGUAAAACAAGAAAACAUCCAACAGUAUCCAUGAAAUAUACAACACCUGUGACACAUUCAUGGGGGUGACCUUCUGUACACAGCCGUAGAUCCACUGGUUCUGCUAAGAUGCCGAUGGCUGCUUAAUGGUCAACUCAGCCCUCAAGUGAAGAACACCAUUGAUGAAGAAGAGGCUAUCAUCAGCCAUGAAUGAUGUCCAUGGUAUGGCGAACAAAUUCCUGUACCCAACCGCCUUCCCACCCGUGAAAGUGUAGUAGCCCUUGUACUUGCUGGCAAACUCUCCCGACAGCCUGGUCCUUGCAGCAAACUCAUAGUCUACUGUAAAGCUGAUGGAACCCUUCUCUUGCAUCCCCAAAAAGAGCCCGAAGCAGUGGAAUGAGUUCUGCUGAUCCAGGUUGCAGUGAGCCGAGAGGAAGAAGCCCUGCCCGCCAAGGUGGAAUGCCUGAGAGUAAACCCGGCCUGAAGGGAACAGUUUGGCACACUCCUCCCGCUUCAGGUCCAGAUAGACUAUGCAUUGUGGGUGGGGCCUAUCAAACUCUACCACUUUCAAAGGACGGUAUUUGUAUGCCCGCUCAACAAACCGCUGACUGGUCGACUCAUCUGAAGCAAGGGCACGCUGCCGAUGCGGGGUAUCUGCCUUGAAGAAGAGUGCCUCAGUGACAGCCUUGGAAGCAAGCUCAUGGUCCAGGUCAUUGCAUGUAAGAACUUUCCUAAGCUUCCUGCAAGUCAUAUGAGGGAAAUGUAUAAGACGGAUAAGGCGGGACCCUAAGAUCUCACGCCGUUCCUCCAACUUCGGGUACUGAGCACGGGCCCACUUGAGCACAAAGUCAUAGACUGCAUCCUCGGAUGCCACCUGGAGGUCAUUGCUGGACAGGAUAGCUUCAACGCCAGCGAGAGGAAGAUUCAUCACUUCAUCUUGAAACCUGCCAGUAGAAUAACUGCUAAGUUCAUAUUGACAUAGCGAUAAAAAGUUUAUAUAUAACACCUAAUGGCACAAAUUAACUCACUUAGUUAUGUCCCUAUAUUUAUGGGCGAGGAACUCCUUGGCUGCAUCAGUCACUGGCUGGACUGCAGAGGCCAUUGAAACGCUAGAAGGGAGAUCCAGAUACAGAAGUGCAGAUUCUGUGGUCAUUGGCAAGCUUCUAAGCAACUGACUGCAGUGUCUCAUGCAAGAAGCAACUUCAAACUUAUCAGCAGCCAUCAGCACAUCCAGGAGGAGGGAAGGUGAGGUGGUUGACAACUUUCCACUAUACAUAAAACUUAAAAGCUCCAUAAGAGCAGCUUCCUCUGUUCCAGAAAGAAAAUAAUUCAGUAAAGUGAUACAUACCAAAAAGCAUUUAUCUAUAUAAAAUGAUAAGUCAUAACUCAACGUUGUAUGGUGGUUUCUAGCAUAGUAAGCUUGACAUUAAUAUCGGACAACAUGAACUAAUAAUACAAGAAUUGAGAAACAUGUUUAUGCGACUCAACAUCAUGCUAUCUCAACUUUCUUAGACUAGUGACAAUUUACAGAGCUGCUAACAGAUUACACCAAAUAUAACGUAGUUAGCUGUGGAGUAAUGUUAAUAAUCUUCUUCAUGAAAACCUAAUUAAAUAGGGAUUCAAGAGUAUGACAAUAAAUCAAACAGUUAUAUUUCUUCUUUAAGGUGAAGAUCUGACAAGGAGAUGCAGAUUAGAAGUUGAUGAACAACUGCAAAUAGUCAAGCUUGCAUGUACCAUUUUGAAACCAUCAUAGCAAUUCUUCAAAAUUACCUGAUGCAUUGAUUCUUAAGGUAGCAUGACGUUGGUCAGACUCCCUCAUGCCAUUUGAAAAAAGCUAAGAGCAAAAAAUAUGUUAAGAAUGCUGCAUAGUCAUUACAGUCAAGGAAGAGAAGAACAGAAGAGUACAGAUUCUACAUAAGGAGAGGUGGGGCAGUUUCUUACCUUGUAAAAGAAUGGGCUUUUUGCAGCCAAUAUUGCAGAACUGAUGUAAAUAGAUUUAACCCUCAGAACAUUAGAGCAUUCCAUGCUCCAGGUUGAAUCAUUGCUUUGUGAAUCAUCACCUCCAAAGAUUUAUACUUUCCAAUUAGAAUUGCAAACAAAAACUACAGAACUAAUGCCAACAAAUAAAGGUCUGAGAUCAAACAUGGCAAGAAAAAUAAUGAUAAUAAUAAUCUGAAACAUUUUUAAUUGGUCUUGAAAAUUAUACGAAGUCAUAUGAUCUAUUUGACUUUUCUGCUGAACCACCUAAGCUCCAGUCUACCACUGCUCAAAUUCUACUAUUAUAAACUCUUUGGCUGGCCAGACAACCAACUUCACACUUUCACUUCACACCUUUAUAAUUGUAGAUAAAGACUCCCAUAAAUUAUAAAUACAGCACCGUUGGCUCAGUUCUUGCUCUAUAAUGGGCAGAAACAAAGGAGUUGCAUAGAUGCUAGUUUGUAGUUUGGUCAAUCGUGUAAGGAUCAAGCCCUAUGAGGGUCUGACUGUCAAUUCUACACAUAAAGUGGAGUGCCUAGAAGCUGUUUUAACACUUAAAAAUAUUGAAUUGCAUGAAGGGAAAAAUCCAAUUAAUUUUUUAUGUUACAACAUAGAGACUAAUAAUCAUACCAUAGAAGAAAUAAUAGAACUUUACAUAAGAUGGUAACCAGUCAAUGGUUGGUAGCAUAAAGGCCAGAAGAUGGCAAGCAAUCAAUGGUUGGUAUCAUAAUAGACAUCAGAAAAGCAACUGAAAAUGCAUAACACUAAUCUAAAUUAUCAGAAUGAGGUAGUACCAAAAGUUUCCAUCCAUACUUUCUGACAGAUGACCAUCUAAAUAUAGGCUGGAAAAUAACUUCAUCUCAGAAAUUAAAUCAAACAAAAUUUUGAAACAGUAAUUGUUUCUACCAUCUCGACCAAUAUUUGGUGGUGAUUCUUCAAUCAUUGCUACUGCAUCCUCAUCAUUAUUUUCAAAAGCUACACAAUCCUCGGUGUCGAGCUGGUCAUAAUUCAAGAUAUGCUCUGUCGGAGACUUUGCAGACUCUGCAGCUAAAGAUUCUAAAAGAAAGAAAAAAGAAACAUAUUUAUUUAAUAUGACCAAUUAACAAUUCAACAUAUGAAAGAAUAGUUUACACAAAUCAUAUUAAUGGGCAACUACUUCUCCAAAAUCCUUCAAAUAAUACAUCAAUAUUUUUUUUUGAAAAAACCUCCAAAAACAGUCAGCAACAUUAGAUCUAAUGAUAAUUUGGCAAGACUGUGUUUGCCCUAGAUCAGCCAAGAUUACAGUGGCAUUCACAAGAAUUUCCGUACAUUUCCUUAGAAAGGUAGAUAUCACUGCAAAUACUAUAAGCUAGAUUUCAGAGGAGAAUGAAAAUGUAUUAUAUACUAUAAUUGUUGUGGUUAAAAGUUUUCUAGUGGGAAAGCUAGAACCAUCAGUCAGACAACUCCAAUAAACUUGAUGUUGCAUCACAUGUAAUCAUUGAAGAAGUGAUAGAAUUGAUUUUUCCCCCAAAAAAAAGAUCAGAUGGUGAAUGAUGACAGCGCUAAAAUCUUCCCCAUAACCGCAAUCAAUUUUUUUCUGAUACUACCUGGAUGUACCUACAGUUAUAAGACUGAAUAUUGCAUAACAGAAAUAACAGUGCAAGACCUAUAACAAUAAUAUGGACAUAGAAAAGCAUGCACUUAUAUUAACCAAUGCCCAACAAUUUUAACAUUUAUUAACAGGUAUAAACAUAAACAAUAAGCCAUGUUCCAUCAGUUCGAGUUGGUACCUUUCCCAAGACAAGUCCUCUUUAUUGAAUAGUGUCUUACAUCAAUCAUUUUGGUCAUUGCACUGCCUCACAAGGACUGUCAGUCUGUCAGUGUCCUACAUUAACAAGUCUACAGCACCUCAAAAACAAGUUCUCCUUGAUCCUCCACUAAUAAAACUUAUAAUCUUCAGAAAAUGUACCCCAUAUUUUAUCCAUCUAGUUCAGCCAGAGAUCCACCGGAACAUUCUCAUGUCUAUUACAUUUCUCUUAUGCUUAUUAGCUCUCUACACUGCCCAAUAUGAUCCAUAUGGCAAAGGUCAUAAUAUAGUUAUGUACAACAUUUCCUAAUAGGCUAUACCAUGAUCACAUGAUAAUUAAAGCUUUCUCCAGGGAAUACAAAUUAUAAACACUUAUUUUUUGAAUUUAAAAGGGAAAAAAUAACCAUUAUAGGGUUGUUGGAAUCUAUUGUUUCAAAAUACCAAGCAAUAACAACCUUACAUGAACCAGACAAUAAUAAUGGCAUUAGUGAACGAGUGUCUCCUUAGGAAUUAGAGCUGUCAAAUGAACGAGCUGUUCAAGAGAAGCUUGUAUUCGGCUCAAAUAAGCUCAUUAUGAAAAUGUAAUUUUAAAUACAUCAACUCUGCAGCUCCCGCCACCCAAGCCAACUCUCCUGCUCUAGUUGUAACCUCCUACAAAACGUUGAUAUUGAAAGCAAACGAGUCAGCUGAGCUCGAGAUGCCUCGAAAUGUAAAUAACCUAAGCUCAAGCCCGGGCUAGCCAGGCUGUAACAAGCUUGAGCAGAGCUCAGAUCAACUCUCUGGAUCAUUUAGCUCAGCUCUAGCUAGGCCUAGCUUGGCUGAGAUCAGCCCGUUUACACCUCUUGGUCAGAACAUAACGACCUCACUUUUAAAUUGCUCUCCUAACACAACAGUUAGAAUGCUGAUCAGACCUUUGGAAGAUUGCUAAAAUGAACCCAUAAACAUAUUUUGCAACAUUGGGGGUUCAAAGAGUGUAAAGCAGUGAGUUUUAAAAGCCUUAAAACUUCAAAGCCAGAUGAUGAUAUUGAGUUCCAUGUCAUGCACAAAAUAGAUUCAAAUACUUAUAUGCCGUGCAUUGACCAUUUUUCACUCAGAAUAGCCCUUGAAGGGACAAUAGAUAUCACAGACCACUCCAUUAACCUAUAAAUUAGAACAAACAACUUUUUGAUAGAAAUCCUUAACAUGACACGAAUGUAAUAAUAUGAUGGCACAUGUCAUUACUCAUAAUAAAGUAUUUCUUUAAGUUCAUGAAGUUUCAUUAAUAUUUUAUUCUAGUAUACAUAUAUUGCAUCUUCAAUGUAGUCUUAUAAAACAAUCAUAUGAUGAAAAAAAAAAACAAAACCAUAUUACUCAUAUGAUAUUAAGUUAAGAAUUUUGUAUAUUCAUAUAUAUGUAUGUAUAUCCACUUGACAUUAAAGACCAUUUUCCAUUUGAAAUUAGAUCAAAUGCAAAUUUAAUGAAAAGAAAUCUUAGACUAAUCUUGGAUAAUUUGCAAAAUCAAGAAAUCAUGUAAGCCUGACACCUAAACAUAACUGAAAGACACUCUUAUUCGUAACCCUUGUCAAAUAGAUUAAUGAAUCAAAUUUCUUAUAAACAACAGACAGUUGCCUCAAAUUUGAUGUUAUAAAGGUCAGCCUGAUUUACGAGUCACGGUCAUCCAUUGUGUUCUAAAAAGCUACUGUAGUAUUGAAGCAUAGGGGACCACACAGCAUUUAGGCAAAAGGCAAACAACUAAUAUAAACUUUGGAUUUAAAAAAAAAAAAAUUGAAGUUCAUAAGAAAAUAAAAUUAGCUAUAAAAUUUGUCAAAAGAAAUUAAAGGAAACAAAAUGGUAGUUAAACUAACUUUUCCAGUUCAAUGUGGACCUAUGCAACACAACAUGAUGUGAUGUAGAAGUACAAUCUUUCCCUACAUAUCAUACAGUAACAUGAAUUGAUCAUUCACUAAAACAUGCAAAGUUAUUCACAUGAGUUAAAUAUAAUAGGCAAUCUUGAAAACCAAUAGAAAGUUCAAAAGAAACAACUAAUCAGUAAAUCUGUUGCAACUAAGUGAGGUAUUUUGUAGGUUAAGCUUGACCCAGUUAGCUUAGGCAGGCUGACUGAGGCAGUUGCUAAGAAGCCUGCCUACGUAUAAGGGCCACCCGAGUAGGGUUGAGGAGGGACCGCCUAAUUAUGUGGCUCAAAGGCAGUUCAGAUGGCAUAUUGGAGAUUUUUACCUAAUCAAGGAAUUUCUGCAUCAGUCCAACAUAUAGGGCAAUUUUAGGGCACCAUGAAUUACCAACUGCUCAUUAUGGUUGUUUGAUGGAAGUAGCUCGCUGCCACAAAAAGUAAGCCAUAUAGCAUAUGCCACAGGUAAAUACUGUCCGCAUACAUAACCAACAACCAAAACCAGUAAGAAAAACUAAUGCACAGUUUGGACCUGACAUACAAAUGCCUGUCAUGGAGGGCAGAAUAGUGGAGGCCUUGUAUUUGGUAAAAUCCCAAUCUAAACAACUUAAAGAUUUAUAUCAAACUAGGAAGGCUAUUAGAGCUUUAGGUACAUCCAAAUAGCAACAUCCUGUUGAAGUAUAUGAUACAAUCCCUAUGAAGUUACAAGUACUCUAAAAUAACAUCUAACAUAAAUAAACACAAACUUUCACCUAAACGACAUUGAUGGGAAAAUCAAAGGGUUUAUAAUAACUUAUCAUCAAAUAAAAAAGCAUUGUAGUGCACAAGGCUCUCGCCGUAGCGGAUCGGGGACACCUGCAUGUGGAGAUGCUAUUUCCAUAUUUCAAACUCAUGUCACCCAAGUUAUAAUGGAGCAAGCUUACCAUUACUCCAAGGCUCGCCUAUGUAAUAACUUGUCGUCAAAUAUCCUUGUUAAUUAAAUGCAUGAUGCAAUAAGACAAAUAAUCAACCGGACUUUUUUUGGAUCCCUAGAUACUCUAAAAAAAUUGAUACUAACAAAAACCCAAAAGCAUCAAGGCUCCUGAAUAGGAAAGAAUAUUUGGUAACAUUAGUUAUAGAAACCUUUUUAUUGUCAAACCCUAUUCAAGGUCUCAUUCCAGCUCCUAGCACUCAGCACAUGCGAAGCACGAGAAGCCAAAAAAAACUAACUCUGGAUAUUUAGAUUCAUAUAGCAUCAAAGAUAAUUUGGCGUCCAAUUUGUUUUUUCCCUUCAACUUGCAAUACUAUAGCUAGAUUUGAAAAACAAUCUCAUUUACUUAUAAAGUUACAUCUCUAUUUUAAAUUUCCUAUCGUUUUUUAACUCAUGAGCCUUAGAUUUCCAGUAUUUUCUAACUUUAAUGAGUAAUAGAAGUAUUUUUCUUCAUCGGCACUCGACCCAACUGAUUUAAUUUUUGUUUAAUUUUCCUAUGACUAUCCUAUAAGAGCACCGUGCUCAAGUCGAGAUCCAAGUGAUCUCCUCUAGCAGGAUUUCAAAGAAAACAAAAGUUGGGAUAUAGGAGAGAAGGGAAAAAAGGGGGAAACUCAAAAUUUCUCUCUCCUCACGUGCAGUCACAAUUGCCAGCAUUUUCCCAUCUCAUGUGAGAUCAUGUGAGAUAGUCGAAUGAAUGUCAAACGACAGACCUCUAACACUUUGGAGUUCUCAUUAUAUAUAGCAAGAGAUAAUCCCAUGCCCAUACACUUUUUAGCUUUCCAAUGUUCAUAACACCUCCAUUUAUCUAUCAUUAUUCACUUAUCUAAUUUUCUGCUCCUUUAUGCCUCUGAACACAUAUAGUAACAAGCAUGUAAUGGGAAAACAAUUUAUUAGCUUUAAAUAUGAUAAAACAAAUAUUAAGCUACUAGUAUUUUAAGGUUUAAGCCUACCUGAGGUUGCAAUGUGCCAGAUCCUUCACUGAAAUCCAAGUCCACUAUCAAUCUAGCUUCCUUCAACUAUAGUUAAAAUCGGAGAUGUGAAAUUUAUGCGCAUUCUAACUUCUAAGACUCAUUAAAGGAAACUCUUACACCCCAAGACUCGAGGAAUAUGCAACUAAUUUCCUAGUAUUUGCACAGAUAUAGUACAGUCUACAAACUCACCACAAUCUAACAAUAUCAGAUUUAUUUCUUUUAGUCUCAUAAAUUAUAGGUGAACAGGAAUUGGAAUGUCUCAUGCAUCUUCCUAUCUGGUUAAAUUUUUGAGUAAAAUCAGUCCAAACAGGAAACUUUGAUGUUUUAUGGUUUAUUAGAAAGUUGUCUUACAAUAUUCUCAGCAUAUGCCAAAGCAGCUAAAUACUGAUGAAACCAGAUCUUAUGAGUGUUCUAGGACUCUUUGAAGGGGAAAAACUCUAAGCAGUAUAAUUAAACCUGAGGUGCAUUCUUAUAAAAACAUAGCACUCAUACAGAAGAACAAAAUGCAGAGUUUGUAGUUAUUUUUAUUUGGUUAAAUUUGAGCUCUAAGUAUUCAUUUACAAGUCUAUUAUGUUUCAGAGGUGAAUUAGAGUUAUUAAACAAGAUUAAGAAUAUUCAUGGUGCUACGGCUAAGAAGUUUAUUCUGAGGUAGAACUAUACCACAAACUGAUCAAGGUCAUUAUGAUUGUUCCAAAAUGCCAUUUCAAGUCUCCAUUACUAACAUCAUAUGAUAUGGCAUAGUUGUGGCCCAGAGGAAAGGAACACUCUGGAAGUAAUUUUACUUGCUAUUAUUUUUUAGCCCACUAGAAGUCAUAACCCAUCAUUAGUAAAAUAAAGCCUUGCUCAUUGUGCUACUCAUUUACAUUUUGAGAUUUCAUUUGGUUGGCUAGGACAACAAAAAAUAUGAAAAAUUGAUUUAGAAAAAUCUUGAGUUAUGUUGAAUAAUUCAUCAUAUUCAUCACUUGUACCUGAUACUAGACUAAUAUUAUUAGAAUAAAUCAGAUAUUCUCAAGACUGAUCUUCUUGGCAGGGUGAGAUCAUCAAAAAUUUGUCAAAGUAUGAGCUGCAAUAAGUCUGAUAGAGGUAAAACAUCUUCAGCAUAUCCCCAAAAAAGACCCCAACUUCUCAAUAUCCUAACCAAUAGAAUCACCUUCCAAUAUGUCUUUAAUUAGAACCAUAAAAAAAAAGCGUCUUGAAAUUAAAGGCACAAUGAUGAUAUAUAAGAAAAUCUACAACAAUAUCCACUGCUAAAGAGCUGCUUUCAUCUAGUCCCCCCAUUCCAAAGAAAAUGUGAUUCAAGUAGAAGAUCACAUGAUGGAGGCAGCAGGGGGGAGUAACGAAGAAAGAAAGAAACAAAGAUUAAGAAGUCAAUAUCUAAGUUUAGGGUGGAUUAAUAUAAUUUAUUAUGUGUUAGUUGGAUGGAGAAAGCAUCUUAGCCUAUGAUAUAAAUUGUGAUGGGAAAUUUCAGUACAUAAAUGAUCAUGGAUCAAUAAACUGGGGGAAAAAGCAAAGUGAGAGAACUUGUGAUGACAGAAGUAAAUCUUAUUUAAGGAGAAUAGCACAUGAGUGACUUUGAGUAAUCUGAAUUUUGAUGUUCAUAAACAGCCAUGGAUAAGCAAGUUAUUCUUUUCCAUGUACUAUUAAAUUAAAAAAAAAGAUAUUUAUCCACCUAAAUCUUGACAUUUAUUCUUUCAUAAUAUUUCAAAAAUAUAUAGAUGAAGAUAACAGCAACUCCAGUUUACUUGCAUGUCUGAUUAAUUUAAAAUUGGCAAAAAGGAAUAGAGAAGGUGGGAUACUUGCAAUUUCUACUCAGUUGGUUUUAGUCAGAAAUUUGAGUACAGGACAGAAUGAAUCAUUUCUUCUUUGGCAAUUCAUAAAGAUAAAACAAAAUGUCUAGAGUGACAGACAACUAGAUAUAGGAAGGAUAAAACAGGAAAAAGUAAAAGAAAUGGAGAAAAGAGGGAGGAUGAGAGUAGCAUUUAACCAUCGAGCUGUCAAGGAAACCUUUCUUGACUAAUGUGACCAUGUAAUGUGUUACUUACCAUGAUAUCACAAGUUAUGUUGAGAAUAAAUUGGGCAAAAGACAGAUUUUCACUAUUAUUUCAUGCUGCAUACAUUAGGUCAUGCAAUGCCCUUAAAGAAAACAAUAGUUAACAAUAUAAUCCAAUCACUAGAUCAUUUGUAUAAGUUAAUUAGAAAUUAUAUAGUGCUCAAUUGACUAACAAAAAAAAAUGUAAACAAUGCAUGCAACAAGUUUAUAGUCAUAUCCCUUAUCAUCUUUUUAACGGUUAAGCAAACUAACAACAAAAAGUAACAUGUAAAUAGUACUGCAUAGAAGUUCCUCACCACAUAGACAUUUCAUGAUCAGUUUUUUUGUAACUUCUUGAAUUGGAAGCAUGAUUGCAUCUAGCUUCUCUUGAUAUAUGGAAACGUAUUUAACCACCAAUAAGCUGGACUCUGAAGUAGUAUUCACUCUUGUGUUUAACUUUUUUGGAUAGUAGAUUUGAAACUGAUGUGCACAUGAAAUUAAGAAUCAUGUUCUUCCGGGGCAUCAAAAAUUAUCUUAGUGAUGUUUUUUAGAUCAUCUGCUUGAUGGCUGUGUCAGUGCUGUCAGGAAUAGGAGAAAAAAAGGAAAAAAAAACAUGUUGGCCGUCAUUUUUCCAACCAAAAAGAAAAGAUGGGAAAAAUGAAAGGAAAGGAAGAAAGAGAGGAUGAGAUGAGCCAGAAGAUCAGAUAAGGAAUGCAGAAGAUGAGAUAUGGAAUCCAUCACAACAAAUAAGAAAUAUGUUAAUCAACAAAAUUUGGGUUCUUACUGUGCCCUACGUUAAAAAGUUGCCAGACCACUCUAAAUACAAACUUAAUGAAUUUAAGCCCGUGAUAGUCCAAGCACAAAUCUCAAGAUCUUACGAUCCACGGUAAUGGAUGGUAAAAUCCAGAUCAAAGUAGGCUUCAGCAAUAUGGAUCAGAUCCAUGGAUUAGGAGCAGCUUGGAUUGCAAGAUCCAGACAUGGAUGGUAAGAUUCAUAUUGUCGAUUUUACGAUCCUUUCUGUUGUAAGAUCCAGAUUAAUAUUAAGUUAUUGCAUAUUAAAGCAACUGCAAUGUCCAUUUUUUAAGAUCCAUUAAUGUCUGACUUUCAUGAUGAUCAAUUCAUCAUCAAUAAUCUCCCAAAACAUAAUACUAGCAAUCUCAAGGAUUUCAACUUUCAAAAAAGAAAUCUAGUUGUUGAGGAUAUAAGACCUAAAACUUCAUCUCUUAUACUAUUUUCAGAAUCCGAUUGCUUUUCUUCCACAACCUUCUACUUCGAAGAUGAAUUGAUGCAAUGCAUUUUUUUCUUUUUGUUCACGUUCAUAUAGAAGUUAGAUUGCUCAUAAAGGUGAGAAAACUCCUUAUCAAGAUGCCCAUGGGGGGAACUUAGUUCAUCAAGGGGCAAGAGGAAAGAAGGCAAUUUUGCAUGUCAAACCUGAGAACAAUGAUGAUAAUGAUAAUGAUGACAUUUCACAUCUUUUUCUUUGUCCGAUAACCUUGUCUAUGUGCAUCUUCUUACAUCAAAUUAAGAUAUCCAUACACUUGUAUGAUGGCAUUUAACCAUAUUGAAUAAUCAACAAAGUGUUUGUUUCUUGGACACGAUAUCUAUGAGCUUGUGAUUGUUGGAAACUAAAUUUUUAUUUCUUUAUAUGAUGGCUUCUUACUCAUUAAUAAUUCAAAUUACAGUUAGAUCAUGCUUCUUACUUUAUCUUAUUGUUUUACCCUUGUUAAAUGUUUUUUUAGAAAAAAGGACAAUUCUAACUCUCCAAUACAAGCCAGUAUCCAAAUUGACUCCCACUGUAAUUUACAAUAUGACCACAAUCUUAAAAACAUAGGUCCAAGCUAUAACCAAACUAAGACAUUUUCAAGACCAAGUUUGAUGCCUAAUAAGCAUAAAAUUAGACAUUUAAAAAAAUUUCAUCUUAUACAAAAACUAACUAAUAUUCAAUUGAUGUAUUUCAGGAAAAUUUGCACCAACUAUAACUCUUUCAUAUCUAUCUUAAUUUCUAUACCUUUAAUGAACAAGGAAUACAUAAAACUAGUGGUCUAAAAACUAAUCAAAGGUAUGCAACUUCUUUAUUAACCAAGACAAGUAGGGAUUUGUAGGACUAUUUGAAAUUUCACAUAUGCUCUGGUCAGAUCCACCUCACUAACAUCCCUGAAUAUAAGGGUAUACAGCCAAACAUACCAACACCAAAGUGUUACACAGACUGUCCCAUUGAGGAUCUCAGAUGUACUCUGCUCCCCGUUAUGCAAGAAGUUAACAACCGAUAUCUCAGUCAUCAAGAGGAGUGGCUAAUGAUGAGAUGAAUUGAGAUCUCAGUUUAUGCCAACUAAGAUCGAAGGCUGGAAGGAUUUGGAAAGAACUGCAAUAUUCUGAAAUCUCGAUCGAUAUAUAGGAACCAAGAUAUAGAAAUAUCACUCAAUAUGGAAAAACAUAGAUUAAUUGGAUCUUUGAGGCAUUGUAUUUAGUAUUUAACAAUUUAAAAGGAUAUGUUGGUAUCAAGUUGGCCAAUAUGUCGGGAUGUACUAUUAAGACAACAAGGGCUGAAAUUGAGCGCCCAAUACCAAUAUCAACCGGUGUCUCGGCAAAGAUGGAAAAACUUGCUUGUAUAUGGAUUUGGAUGACAACCAUUGCCUUGCAAGGCUUUCAACUAAUUUUCGCAUACAAAGUCACUAGAUUACUGCUCAAUUUCAAGAUCCAUUGAUAAUCUCUAACCAUGAUAUAAAACAUUUGAAAGGUGAAGCUAUCUUGACAGUGACUCAGUCUACUAAUAUAUGACAUAAAUAAUCAUUCAAUUUUCUUUAUGCACAUUCUCAGCUGAAAACGUAUUGGAUUGUUCACCGUCUGAUCGAAACCUUAUCUCCGUCUGCAAUAGUAAACAGUUGAAAAAAAUAAGAAAAGCAAGUAAACUUCACCUUCAUCUUAUCCCAAGUGUAAAUUUUUCUCGUUUCCCAUGCUCAACCUGAUCUUGCCGUAAACUGCCACUUAAAAAAGAGUUGACUUUACCACGACAAAACUUAAAUUCUCAGAUUUUGUAACUCCAAUCAUCAUGUUCCAGAGAACCCUUUUAGUCCAAAACUACUCAUUCGUCGUAACAUAAGGUAGCUGUCUUACAGUUUUCAUGGUAGGGGUUAAAAAGAAAAAACUCAUCAACCCAUGUCUCUGAAAAUCUUAGAGAGGGAAAUCGUAGGAUUUUAUUCAAGAAUUCGAUCCAACAUGCUCUAAAAUACCAAAAAGGCAAAUCAUAAACGUCAAAUGUAGAAAAAGAAAAGAAGGGCAAAAAAAAAUCCUAAGUACAGUUUCCCUUCAUCCUAUCUCAAUUCUAAAUCUUUCUUGUUUCCCAUGCUGAACCUAACCUAUCGAAGUGACUCUAGAAAUGAAUUGAUCUCAUUGGGACAAAAUAUAAAAUUCCCAGAGUUUGUCCAACCCCCUAACCUUUCACUACUUCUUUGCCUCAUUAACCUGAUCCUGAUGUUCCAGAGAAUCUUUUUAGUCUAUAACUACACAUAAUUCACUCACCAAAAACUACUCAUUACCCAUAAUAUGCCGUUUCUCUCUUUAGAAUUCCAUCUGCUAGGGGUUUAAAUAAAAUUUUAAAAAAUAAAAUAAAAAAAUCCUCAACAACUCAAGCCCCUACAUUGAUCGAAUAUGCUUACCCGAUGACCCUCAGACUCGGGGGAAGAAAUCUCCGAGAAGGAAAGAUUAGGGUUUUGUUCAAAAAAAAUUGAUCCAGCAUGCUUAAAAAAAAAGGAAUCAUAAACAGCCAUACAAUACCAUGCGAAUUGAGGCUCAAACACAAAACAACGAAGAAGAAAAGGACAAAAUUCUCCAUUGCAAACAAGAUUAUGCAAGGAAAAAAGAAACAAAGAUUUUAGCAACAAGAAAAGAAAAAGGGCUAAAUCUCUGAGGAAUAAGAGAUCGGGAGGUAGGCGGUGACCUUUGUCCUUCUUGAUCUCCUCCCUCUUGCGCUUGGGGUGCCGCGCCCACUCCACGGCGGCCGCUCCGCCCUCGCCGUCGGACUUGCUCCCCGGCGGCUCCGCCAUGAUCUCGAUCCGCAGCACGCGGUCGGAGAAGUUGCUCGAGUUGAACGCGAACUCGAAGUUCUGGUCGCCGCCGCUCGCCCCGCAGAAGUCCGAAUCCAUCACCGCUCGGUGGUCGAAGAGAUCCCCACCGCCCAUUCCCCUCUUCCCCUUCCAAAGAGAGCGCCAAGAUCGAAGCCUUAGUAGCCUCGACGCAGCUUCCCGAUUGCUUGACCUUUUACCCCUAGAAUUUUCUUUCUUCUUUUCGGUCGGACAGACAGCCGAGAAAGGAAGGAAGGUACCCUUCGGCGCGGCGGAGAUUAAUAUAGAAAAUUCGGGGCGAGGGCGAUGGUAAUGGGACGGACUCAGGCCGGCUGUUCUCUUGGUUCUCGUAACUUCUUCCGCACUGCUUUUUAAGUCAAGGGCUAUUGAUGAAUCACAAAAGGAUUUGUCCGAAGAGACAAGCAUUGGAUUGUAUCUCAGACCGCCAUGAGAGGACUCCUUACCUAUUUAUAAAAUCUUUAAAUUCUUACAAGUGACUGGUUCAAGCAUACGGUUGCAAGUAUGGAAUCAUCUUUUAACAAAAGUCAUUUGAAUUAGAAAUUAGAUUUUAGCUUCCUUAUUCUUAACAGUGUACACAUGAACAACCCCUUUUAUUCUAGCUUAGCACCAUCAAAUUCAUUAGUUGUGUCACGCCCCAACUAUUGUGUGAUAGAGAGAAUUUUUCAUGUACAUGAAAUCAAAGCCAUAUAGCAUUGCUCUUUAGAAAUUGCUCAAAAUCUAUUGUUGUAGAUGCAAUGGAGUGGAGUAUUGAUGAGUAAUGUAAUAACUUUUAAGGCAAAAUUAUUUGUACUAGAUUAGGUAUUCUAUUUGCUAAUAGAGUUAUUUUUAUGCGCCAUAAUUUUGUCUAUUUUGAUGCCCGAGUAAACCGUGAUGACAUAUUACUUUAUAGAGAUCGUAUAUCAACCAUUAUUGCUGGUUUUAGAUCGUAGAUAUGAAAAGAGCAUGGUCGCACCUUUCAACCUCUUAUCUAGAGAAGAUUUCAUAUAGCCUUAUGGUUCAAAAAAAUCACAUAUGAUCAAAUUGUCGAUGCUCGUUAGAUUGGGGAAUAUUGCUUUGAAGAAGCGGAAUAGAGAGUAAAGAAUAUCUUUACUUCUGAAAAUGGAAACCCUUGAGCAAUAGAUUUGGAGCAUGCAGUUGAAGUUGAGGAUGGACUUAUUUAUAAUAAUUACUAACGAUUAUUGGCUUUGAUCAAGGAGUAACGUAAGUUCCUGCGACAGCAAAAAAUCCUUGGCUACAAAAAUCUUAAAUUUCAUGGUUGAAGCACAGUGACGCUACUAUAAAAUUCUACCAUGGAGCAACUAUUGUGAGGAACAAUAACAGAAUAACAAUAACUAAAAGAGUUGAUGGAUCCGUUGUGAUAAAUAUGCCGAUAUCAAGCAGCUACUCAAAGAUCUUUUUUAUGGCAAAUGGUAUUCUUAUCAGCCUAUUAUGAUAGUAGAGCUUCCUUCAGUUCUAUUGCCACUAGAAUCCAAAUAUCGAGGUGAAGAAAUGUGGUCGGAAGACUAGCUUUGAGCUUAGAACUUGGACUGGAGAGUUGGUGGAAGAAGUCGAUGACCAUUGAAUCUGAGCUUGGAUUAAAUGGAUUACUUGGUAUCACCUGAUCGAGUUGGAAAUAGAAAAGGAAGUCCACUUUCUAAAAUUUGUCUAGUGGGAAACUUUUGGAUUCUUAAAUUACUGGAUUCUGAGAAAAUGGUGGAAAACUUAAAAGUAGCAGAGUUUCAGGAAAGAGAAUGAGUGAAAAAACAUCUUUGGAGAUCCUUUGGUCACCCUCUUAUAAGGAAUGGGUUUGGUAUUUGUUACCAAAAUUGGCGCGACGUGCAGUAACUAUUUGGUAACUAUCCCACGUUAAGCACGUGGAUGAUAACAGUUUGAUCAUGCAAUAAUGACUGAGCUAGUUGGGAGUAACCGCUCUUAAAUUAAUAUGAUUAUAGUCACACUAUUAGUAGGCAUGGGCCGCUUUUAACUAGGCUUGAAUUGGAGACACGUGUUUCUUCCCUAUUGUUCGGUUGGAUCAAUUCGGCACUUCGGCCAAUAUCGAGGUAAAGCUGACUACGGGCUUUAUCGAGGUUAGGACGACAAAUAUACACCACAUCAGAUUCCAUACAUUGUGUCAGCUAGCAAUAAUCAUAGUCAUACUGUAGAUUUCAUGGACGAAGAGUUUGACAAUGCGAUUCUGAGAUGUCUUCGGAUCAUGCCCUAGGUUCCAACUUAUUCUUCAAAGCAUUUUGGCCUCCUCUGUUCUUGAGUUCUAAUUUGGAUCUAUGCUGAAUAUUUGGAAGUCCACUUUCAUUGCGCUGCUGCCUAAGAAAUCCAAUCCCCUUGAGGCAAAAGAUUAUAGACCAGCGAGUCUAUGUAACACAGUUUACGAGAUAGUAAUUAUACGAAAUUCCUAGUUACUGUAUGAAGCCUAUUAUGCCAUUUCUGAUUUCCAAUGAACAAGGUGCUUCUGUCUAUGGCUGCAAUAUCUCAGACAUUGUUUAUCUGGCUCAGGAGCUAAUGCACUCUCUGAAGAGGACCUCAAAAUCUAAAACCAUGAUGAUGAUCAAACUUAGAAUUGGUUUGAAUGUUGCUUGAGGCAACCAAAUUAAUUUCUCGGUUCCAGUAAAUGGUGUUCCUUCAGAUUGGUUCCAGUCAUCCACGAGCCUGCACCAAGGCUGACCUUCGCCACCUUUUCUUUUGAUCAUUUGUGCGGACAUGUUGUCAAGAUCUAUCUUAAAGAGGGGCAGUGGGUACUGGUUCUUUGCAACCCUUCCAGAUAUCUUAACGAGGGGCUGCAGGUUUCACGUAUCCUGUUCGCGGAAAACUGCAUGCUGGUUGGUCGUCGGCAUGCAAUUCCAAUGGCGUUGGAUGUUCCAAUUAAAGAUGGGAGUCAGGACAUACCUAAGCAUCCUUCUUUCUGGCUCUCGGCACUCUCUGCUAACGACUUCGGCCCUCUGUACAAGAAGUUGCAGAGCCGGUUAGACAGUUGAAAAUGGAAGGCUUUGUUUCAUCAAAAAAGAAAACGGAAGGCGUUGCCCCUCUGGAAGUGCAACUUCGAUAUCUCUUGGGAAAACUGUGUUGUCCUUAGAAAAUGUUAUUAAUGAACUCAACAUGCUAUUUGGGGCCUUUCUUUGGGGUCACAGCACUGAUCGAAAGAAACCACAUUGGAUUCUUAGGAUAAGAUUUGUCACCCUCUGAACGAAGGUUUCGGCAGCAAACAUUGAUGGGUAAAGCAUUCAUACAAGUAGUUAUUAAGCCACAGUUACUUUGGAGUUUGGAGCCAGGUGGUGGAGACUAGAUACCAUCUUGAUGGAUCUUGGGAGAGUUAUUUGUCAAAGCACCUCAUUUGCUGCUAAACAGCUUCGAUGGAGCAUUGGAUCCGGGAAGCAUAUUUAUGUGCUGUCCUCGCCGUUUAUCACCUACACACCCUUGAACCACAUGCCCAUUCACAGAAACAUGGCUACUAGAACUCUACAUCAUUAAUUCGAAUGCUUAGUUUCAAUAGAUCUGGUGGUCUCGGACUGCGCCUCGAAUCCAUUAAUUAUUUCAGGUUGGAUGGCAGCAGCUCUCCUGCAAGAAGCUGCUGGUAAGUCAACUUCUCAAUGAACACUGCAAUCACUGUGAUCUCUACUUGGACUGUGAGAAAGACUUGAACCGUGUGUAGUUUGAACUCCUACUUGCAAUGCAGUUCGGAUGGCCUCAGCUAUCAGCCCUCUUCCAGAACAAAACGUCUUUACGGCCCAUGAAGGUAGAGUAUCAUACGCUGGUGUCCGGCGUGGGAAACUGAUGGAUCGUAUAUAAAUCAUUCAAACCUUCCCAUGUCUGCGGCUUGGAAGACGACUCCGAGACCAUUAUGAAAUUAAAGCCAACGUUAACGAUAAACCAAAACCUGGGCGCAAGACGAUCUAUGUUAUCUUGUGAUGAAACUUCUCUUUCCCCUGAUCUCCAUUUACUUAUUCAUGCUAACUCCUAUGAAUGCAUCUUCUACAGGCAUCCAUGCAUAAAAGUUAAUCCUGUAAUCAUUUCAUAAAAUUUCAUAAAGGGAGUCGAUGGUGCGACAAGUUUACAGCACUCCAUAAGGCAACAUGCAUCCAUGUCCAGGACACCAAAAGCUCUUCCCAGAUCAAUCUUGUAGCAAUCAAAAUCACAACUGUCAUAUUGAAGGUCAGCUAGAAGGUUCUUGAAAUUAAGGAGCACCUUCAACAAGAUUUAACUAAAAGAGCACCUACCCAACGAGCUAGGUUCGAACUUCCAAUAAUAUACCAAUCAAGAGAGAAACACCAAUUUCAAACAGUUCCAACUUGCAUUCAAUGCCACUAUUGAGUGAUUUGGCAGUUGAUACAACAUGAGUAGAUAGAGCUCCCAAAAGCCACAGCUAUAUUGUAAUUCCUUAUAAUAAUCUCUUUCAGAAAACCAAUGGAGGAAUUAAUCAAGCUCCAAACCCACUUGCCUUAAACAACAAAACUCAAAUAUUUGAACCCUAACUCCAUCCUACUACCCUAUACAAAUCAAAAACCUGCCCCAUUUUAAUUAGUAAGUAGGCCUUCAAUUCUUGAAAGCAUCCUGCAAGUUCAUCACUUCAGUUAUUUCCAUCCAUCCAGAAGAACAUGUACGUACAGAUAAUAAAUUAUCACCAUAUUCAUGAAAAUGGGAUAGAGAGUAAUCAAAAUUUAUUCCAAAUUUACGCAAAUAUUACAUGAAUGAUCGCCAUUUACUUAUUCAUGCUAACUCCUAUGGAUGCAUCUUCUACCGGCAUCAAUGAUUUUGAGACUUGCAAGCUUGCCUCCCUUCCACCGGUAUUUUUUUUUAAAAAUAAAUCUUUUAUCAUUUCGAAGAAAUGGUUGGUCGCACUCUACAAUUUAUAUAUAAUUGGUUUACAUGGCAUCCACCUUAUGCUUUAUCAAUUUUGCCAAUUUACAUCGUUGAUUAGAGAAUGGCUUAUGAAGCACCUUCAAAAUAAGGUAAGAGCAGGAGGGGGGCUGAAAAUAGGUGGCCAAUGGGCCUUGAUUAAUGUUGACAUGGGUCGAUCCUAUUCAAACAACCGCUAUGUACAUAGGAUUAAGGCUACACACAUCUAACUAUUCUCAGACCCCAUAGCAAUAGGAGCCUCGGGCACUGGAGACCACCUAUUGUUUUGUUGAUUAAUCUUAUUUGACCAGCUUAUUAAAAAAAAUUAUAUUUGCUUGGCCCAUUUCAAGCCUUGGUGGUAGGAGCAAAUUAAACUCCUACGUCUUAAAAUGUGCAUGGACCACGAUUGUACACACUUGAUCUUGGGUAAAUUUCCCUAAUCUCAGAAGUUUCAAGUUACAUAUAUUAUGCUUUUAUUUUGCAUAUUGGGUAUAUUUUCGCAUGAUCAUCCUUGAUUUUGAACAAACCGCUUAAACAAUAUUUAAGGUUAACAACUACAUAUUGAUUUCAUACAUAACCCAGAACAUUAAAAUCCAAUUGUAGAGAUUGCCUCUGUGCAAUUAAUUCUUAGAUGAUAAAACAAAAAAUAAUAAUAUUAUUAUUAAAUAAAUUUCGAGUUGACUGGAUUGGGAAUACUUACCCAAUAUUUCUUGCACCUGAAAAUCACAUACAUAGCAUGCAAUGAAUUCACUGUGUCAUCCAAAGAUUCUUCAAUCAUUUGCUACGUGAUGUGCGACAAGUACCGGUAAAAUCAUUUUCGCUGAGGUUUGCCUGCCGAAGGAUAUGUUAAAGAGUGAUAUUGCUGAUUGUUACCUUGGCAAAUCCUUCUAUAGGCGCAGAAAAACAGGAGGGGGAACAAAAAAUCUACUUCUCCUCCACACUCAACAAUUCCCUUGAUGGCAGCUCAGCUUGGUCUUCUAAAACCUUACCGUGGGAAGGAUCAAAUUGGCGUGCAUAUAUUGUGAUGGUAUAACCAAAAUAGUAAGAGCCAACCUCAUAAUAUAGUGCUAUUUCUUGUCUAACAUUGAAACUUUUGAAUAUAAUUGCGUUGGUAACCUAGAGUGUCCUUUAUGUUUAGAACCUAACUAAUAUUGAAUCUUUGCUUUAACUGUGAGGAUCCGUGCGGGCGUGUAUUUAGUACUACAUCGGUUAUUCGCUAGGUAGAUCUUAGAUGCUUAUAUGGGAUCAAUGAACCCAAACAAUAUCUUUUGGGUAGUUAUUUUGAAUGAGGUCCUUCAUUGUUAUAAAUGAUAUCAGAGCAGACUCGAUCCAUAACCUAUGAGGACUAGAAGACAUUGUAACAUAAAUCUAUUAGAGGCUGACGACGAGCUAAUCGUAGUGCUUGUGAUUAGAUUUGAAUGGAGUAUGUGAGGAUCCGUGCGGGUGUGUGUUUAGUCCCACAUCGAUUAUUCAAUUUGUUUAUUUUGCUCAUGAUAACUAUGCAGGAUAUAUCUAGACUUUUUCUAUCAAGUCGUUUUGAAUGUUUAAGAAAUCCAAGAGAAACAUGAAAGGCUUGUUGAAUAUUUUAAUUUUAGAUACCUCAGAAAAAACUAAACUGCACGUAUAGUCAAAUUAACACUUCUGAAAUGCAAGAGCAUGUUAACCAUUCUCGUCAGCGCAGGGCUACACAAUGGUGGAUGGCCCUCCCCAGUUACCCCUAAAUUUCUGCAACCUUGAAGAAAGGAUUGAUCCCAAGUCUUCUUUACAAUCACCAAGAAUAUUAAAAACUGGAGCAGUUCAAACUGCUUGGAGAGCAGCCGUCUGAAGACACAAGAACCAUAAAAGUUUGAAGAAAGGAUUGAUCCCAAGUCUUUUUUACAAGCACCAAGAAUAUUAAAAACUGGAGUAGUUGAAACUGCUUAGAGAGCAGCCGUCUGAAGACAAAAGAACCAUAAAAUUCAAUUACCAUCAGAUAAAUAAUCGAGGUAGAAAAUAAAUAAUAUCAUAUACUUGAUAGACUAUGGCGCGAUGGCCAUAUUCUCCCAUGGUUUUCGUCUCUUAAAACUAGCCUUCACAAGCUCCCAUAUAUCUUUCCAGAGGAGUAUUACAAGGCAUAUAUACAUGCAUGUCUGUGUCAACAAAAGCCACGUAUGCAUGAGACACGAGCUAAGGAAGUGUACUUCUUAAUUGGCUCCUGUAUAUUAAGUGCGAAAGGGGUGCCUCUCAAGCUGAUCAAAAUGUUCAUCAAAAAUUUAAAAAGCUACUCAAAAUAUAGGAUGCUUUAGAAGUAGGAAACGUAAAAUAAGAAAAAGAAGAGAGGACUGUUUAUGAAAGGAAAAAGAAGAAGAAGAAGAAGAAACAUGAGGAGAUAACUUAUCAAAAUCAAGCAUAUUUGAUGCGAAUCAAAUGAAAGAAAUGUGAAAAAUAAACUAUCCUGGAAAUGACCGAGAGCUCACAAGAAAAUGAUAAAGUAGUGGGCUUUACUAGUGCCCCGGACAACAGAAGGGUCCCUUAAAAGAACCUAACAUUGGUCCUCCGAGGUAGCACGAAGGGACCCCAACGCUGAACCGCUUCUAUUCGUUAAUAAAUAUUCAAAGUACCGUUAAGCUUACCAUAUUCGGAAUACAAACCAAAUAUUUUGUGCGUUCCAAAUCAAAUAUCUCUUAAUAACAGAAGCUACUUGCUAACUCUACCAGUUCGAAGAUCUUCGAGAAAACCAGAAAGCUCAUACCAUGCACGGAGAUUGAUAAAUUAAAGAUAAAAACCAUAGUUCUACAUAGAACACUUACCCUUAACUUGUAAGAACAACCCCAGAGAGAGAGAGAGAGAGAGAGANNNNNNNNNNNNNNNNNNNNGAACAACCCAGAGAGAGAGAGAGAGAGAGAGAGAGGAGCUCCCUUCAAUCCAAGCAGGAGAAGAAGGAAGGCAAGGACGUCUCCUGGGUCAUGCACAGCCCUUGAGGUGCACCCUCAUCUGCUCACGAACCGGUGCACCCAAAGGUAUUCAUGAACCAGCAGCCGUAUACACCCCACUCCCCCUCGUGGGUUGGAUCGAAAGGAGCUCUUUCAGCUAUGCACCCUUCCUUCUUACCACUGCUCCCCCUCCACACCCUCCUCACCAACUCCUCGCAUCAAAGUAUAUAAAACCCAACUCGAUCCAAUGGCUACGUAUCUUUCUUUUCGUUCUCAAGGAUCCAUACGCCAACCUAUGGAUGGACAAAUUAAGGUGCUGGGCCUGGCUUUAAAUAGAGCUCAUGAGAGGAUGGAGAGAGAGGAACCCUAGAUUCGACGAGGGCCGUCGGAUGGACUAUGGGGACAUGAAGGGAAGGGAUUUCCUCGGUAGUUGAGCCGGAGGUCACUUGGGCAUCUCUUUCUUUUUGGUAAGCUUGGGCAUCUCUUUCUUGGGAAAACGAGAGAGGGCAUCUCUUUCCAUAUAAUAUCUAUGUCUUCUCCCUUGUCCUUUAAAGCGAAUCCCACCUCACGAGGCUGGCAACGGUCGGAUUUGGUGCGCCUUUGGCAUCUCUUUUGAUAGGCUUUGGCUGCCGAAAUAAUGGGCUUUAGUCGGCGGUCCAUUUGUGGGGAACAAGCUGGACCCCAGUAGGCGCGUGAAUGCGCAGGAAAGCUUGGGCUGCUUUUCCAGGUUUGGCUUCCUUUUUGUGGGACUUUCUUUUGAAAGUUGAGCAUCCACAUGAAGCCAUGCCAUGGACAGCAAAGAGAUGCUGCAUGAGUAUGGCUUCUAGUUUUGUCAUAAAAGGUAAUUAAAUAUUUAGGACCUUCCCAAAAAUAUGUAGGGUCCAAGUUCUUCCCCAACUUGGAUGCCUAAUUCGGCGCCUAACCUAAGCAUUUAGCGUUUGACGCGUGCAAUUCAAAUGAUAUGUUCAAAAUGAAGAUAAUAUUUUUUUGGGUAUCAAAUAAAAUUAAAUCGAAUCAGAAAAUAAAAUAUUCAAAAAUUGAGGAGAAAGAUUAGUAGCGUUGCAUAGGUUGUCAUCCAAUCAGCUACACUUCUAGCUUCUUUUUAUGUUGAUUAUAUAAUAUGGAGAGUGCGGAUAUUUGUAGAGAUCUGAGAAAUAUAAAUAGUAUCUUCUAGUUAGUUUUUUUUGUGAGAUCUUAGCUUGUUAUAAAUUACAUUUUAGCCAAUAAUUAUCUUAUAAGUUAUAUUGAUGCUUGUUAGUCAUUAGUGCUAAGUUAACAAGGCACUAAUGCAACUUUUUUAGCUUUUGAUGCUGGAAAAAGGAUGCCAACAAAUCCAACAUCGUCUAUGCACUAGCAUAUACUUGGAAUCAAGGCAAAAAUUUAUAUCGUAUAGGUUGGAUGCAUGAUUUUAGAGAGCUUCUCUAACUGUUUGCUUUUAUAGUACAAGAUUGUUUUUUUCUUUUUCGAUGAAGCAGAGGAGAUGAGCUCCACUAGCUUCAUUAAGAAACUAAAAGAUAAAAAUAUAACACACUUGAAAAAUAUAAGAGCCUAAGCCGGAGGAAAGGAGAAUUAACAAAACCCUAAGGACUUGUUUGGAUGAUUGAGUUUUUUUUUCCUUCCUCGUGAGAUUCGAGCUGACCCAGUCCAAAGAUAAUCUUGCUGAUUAUACUGGCCCUAUUUAUGAAUCUAAUAUAAUUUUCAGCCCAACCAUCCAAACAAAUUCUUAGAAAAAAAUUGUCACCCAAGAUUGUUGUGAUACUUUAUGUUAAACGUUGGGUGCUGCUGGAAAUCUCUCAUGGUGCCAAACUUCAGACAUUUAGACUUUGUUUAGAGUUUAAUUUUAUGCUUCGAUGAAUUUAGCAGUUGACCUAGCAGUUAUAUUCAGAAGUUGAGGGAUUUGUGUCUUGGCUCUGUCUAUGAGAUGGUUUCCAAAAUCUUCGUAACAAAAUUGUGUUGGUCUGUAAUGCAGCCAAAGCACCGUUUAGAAGGCUGAUUGGGCAUAAAGGCAGAUUGCAAUUGGACAUACUUUGUAGACUGGUUGGGCUUAUGUAGGCUUUAAAUACUUCGCUUGUCUAGCUUAAUGGCUCUUGAGUGAGCUUCCUAAGUACACCUGGAGUAUGUAAGCUUAUUUAGCAGCUCUUCAAACUCUUGCAUAACGCAUUAGGUGAUUCUUUUUCUUUUUUUUUUGGUAAACCAUAUUUUUGAAACUAAUCUAGAGUAAAUACAUCUAUGAGCAUCUAAAAAUAAAAUAUUUAACAAUUUAGAAUGAGUAUCCAUCAUAGUCAUCCAUAAAGUAGAUUCCAUGAGAUCAGCAACAUAUUGUGCCAUCUAGUUUUAGUAAUACUAUUAACCUUUUUAUAAACAUACUCAAACAGUCUUUCAUCGAAGGAUGGAUAUUAGUCUCUAAGGAUGUAGAACGCAUGCGAUUCUUCUCUUUAGAGUUAAACAUAUCUAGGUUGCUCCGUGACGUAGUUUAGUGUCCCCAUCAUGCAAAGGUGGCUAUUCUUUGUUCCCGUUCACGUUUGAGGGGAUGUCAUCAAGAAGAAUCCCAAUCAUUCCGUUCAGCUCGAACCUUGAAAGUUUUAGGAAUAAUGGAAGUGCCCUCUUAUUUGAUAACUUUUAAUAUAAAUAAUGGAAAGAAAGGUUUAGAAAACCAAUGGGAAUUGCACACGGAGCACCGGAAAUAUGAGAUGAUAUCAUGAAACCACUUGAGAGAUGUAGUCUAAUAUACGAUCGGGCGAAUUAAUGCCCUCCUCUAUCUUUGGAUGCAAGAAAAUCUUAGGAAAUUUCUACUUUAAGUUAUUCUUGGGGUCAAGAUCUGAGCGCAUCAUGUGGUCCGGUGAUGGUUGAGUUGGGAAUAUGAAAUCUGAUGAAAGGGAUUGUCUCUUGAAGGUAUAUUUCCAGAUAUCUCUCUCUGUGUGUGUGUGGAUAAAUCAGUAUAAGGAAGGCUUAAAAUUCUUUGACCGUCCAAUCAAAGAAAUAAGGGUGGUAGUCUUCUUUCCAAGUUUUCUUUGCAUAUGUUACAGUACAAGUUUCAACUUUAUUUCACUCUCAAAGGUUUAUAAAUUCUUCUAUUUUUUCGGCAAAGUGCAUUCUUUCAUGAUCAAUUCUUGCUUUUCUGAAAGUAAGAGAAGCAUACCAAUUAAUAGUGAAAAUAUAUUUAUCAAACUACACAAAUAAUAAUUAAUAGAAAUGUCUAUCUCCAAAUGGGUGACCAUAGACCUACUUUCUUUCAAAUGCAUCAAUAAAUUAGUAGAAAUGUGAGGACCCGUGUGGACGCAUGUUUAGUCUCAUAUCGGCUAUGCAUUAGAUAAAUCUUGGAUAUUUAGACAGAGUCAAAAAUCUCAAUUACAAAUAUUGUCAAAACAAAUCUGGUCCAUAGUCUAUGUGGACUAAGGAAUACUACAGUACGGAUUUAUGGAGGCUGACCGCGGGUUAAUCGUAAUGCUUGUGAUUAGAUUUGAAUUGAUUUGGACCUUUAGCCUGGCGAAGAUGUCAGAGCUUAAAGGAGAGGAGUAUGUGAGGAUUUGUACAAGUGUAUUAUGCAUUGAGUAGAACUUGGUUUCUUAUAGAGGACCAAGGAACUUAAAUAACAUAUUCCAAUUAGUCUUUUUAACUGAAAUCCUACGUUGUUACACGGAAAAAGCCUUCUCCUUCUUCUUUUGCUACAAAGUCAUGCUUUCUUUCAAUAGCAUCGAAGUCCCACGUUUUUGAAUAAUCUUUUUUUAAAAGUUCGAAUACUUUUUAAAUUCAUUAUUAAAAGAUUUUAUCAACCUAGUAAGUAGUUUCUUUUUUUCUUUUUUUUGAAAAUCAGUAAUCUUCAUAAAAGGUUAUUGAUAAUUAUUAAUAAUUGAUGAUUGAUCUACAAAUCUCGGACUCGUGGUGCAAUGUUAUAAGACGGUUUCUAUUUGACCGCCGGUGAAACAUUCUAGUAGAUCUCUCCCACCUCCCUUUUUCAAACCCCACAUUUCCAUUCCACUUUGCCUUCGGCCGAGAGCAUUCCAAGUUUAAUGCUUCCUCAUGGCCAUUGCUUUGCCUUCAGUUUCAGGUUUACCCUAAACAUACUGUAUUCGUCUUCAUUGCUCGACUAAAGGAACCAUGAAAUAGCCAUAGCAAGAAUCAGAAAAGAACAGAGCUCUAUUUGCAAGAGCUCCCCAUCUAAAGAUAUCGGCAUGCUUUAAGAUGGAGGGUAUUGCAAAGCUUCAUUCACCAAAGUUCCUGCUAAGAAGUACUUGAAGUCCAUGCAUAAAUUCAUCUUGCAUUAGUGAGGUCGGUCAAAUUGAAUUCAUCUUUCGACGUCUUCCUUAAUAUGUCGCAUGUCACAAAAUCUAGGGUAGAGAGGGAGUCAAAUCUUGCAUAUCACAAGUUUUUCUUAU